AGGGGGAAGAGAGGAGGGAGGAGGAAGGAGCUCUGAAGGGAUGAGAGAGGCGGCCAGGGCUCCGGGCCGAAGCAGCGCGCGGCCGGGGACCAGGGGAGCUGAGGCACGGCUUUUGCCCCCUCACCCGUUUUCUGUCCCCUUCCAUCCUUUCCGUCCACCCUCCAGCUUGAGGAGGGGAUUUAUUCAAAUUUUAUUUAAAUCUCUUAUCUCCAGAAGGUCGCGCGCUGAGGGGAGGGGGAGAGGGCGGGGGCGCGCGCAGGGUCGGGGGCGAGGCCCAGCAGCUUCCUAUAUCCCCCUCGGCUCGCCCGGUGUAGUAGCGCAGGGGGCCGCAGACCAGGGGCGGGCCCAGGGGAGGGGGGCAGAUUACAGGGACCCCCCCCCCUCCCCGGGAACGGGCGGUGGGCGGGGCUUGCACCCCGGAAACGGUGGGGGUCCCAGGCCUGGCCCUGGACCCCUGGGCAUUGGGCAUCGGGAAGGGGCCAGUUAAAGGGCCGGGGGCGCUGGGGAGAGGCGGGGCGGUGUGGGGGGAGGGGAGCUGGGACUCGGACCCCCGGACUGAGUGGGGCCCGGGCAGAAGCUGUGCACUCUGCGCCCGAGGAGCCCCCGUUGGCCUGGGGGAACUGAGGGACUGAGCCCCCCAGAGCAGGACCUCCCCCUGGAAGGGCCGCGCCGCAGCCCGUGGGAGGGCCUCGCCCCCGGCGCCCCCCAUCUCCACUCGCCGCCGUCCUGGCCUCCGCCGGAGAGAGGGGCCGAGCACCUUCAGGGGGCCGUGGACCCCGUCGUUCUAAGCGUUUCGCGUCCCGCGCCGCCCGGCCCCCUCGCCGCCGAUGGCCGCGGCGUGCCGGGAGCUGCCAAGAAGGGAGAGAUGGCUCUCAGGACACGUGUGAGCUUGGGGAGAGCCGGGGAUGGAGCACAUUUGGAGAACAGGGGAAGAGUUGGGACCUGUUUCAGUUGUUCCACAGACAAGGAGCCCUGGUUUUCCGGUGAGCUUUGCUGUGGGGAUGUCGUGGAGAGGCCGUUUUCCCUCUCUGUUUCCCUUGGUCCUCCCUGGGUCAGGCGUGGGAGAAUGGAACAAGUGUUAGAGUAGGAGUGAGGUCAGGGAGCUAGUUCUCAGGGCUCCCGGAGGAGCCAGGUGAGCUGCUUCAGGAAGAGGGUGGCCUUGCCUAGAGGGAGGGGAUUCCUCUGACCCCCCACAGGAGGGGCACCUCCUUGUUCCUUGUCUCCCUGGGUAGGAAGCCAAGCUCUGUCUGCCUAGGAGUGGGGGGAAAGCUGCCAGGAGUCUCGCUGGCCAGGGUCCCCGUGGGCCCCCCUGAGCUUGCCACCCUCCACCCACAGCCCUCGGCGUUGCUGACGCCCCCAAUGUCGUCGAGCAGCUGGGCGCCACGGGGCCAGAGCGCGCGGAUGCCGAACCUGCUGCUGCUGCUGGGCCUCUCUGCGAACUGAGUGCAGGGACUGCCCCUUCUGCCGAGACAUGAAGAAAUUCAGGGGGGCCCGGGCACACGAAGCAGUCGUGUCUGCUUCAGCAGUGCACUGCUGUGAGUUCUGCCCCUGCUGCAGGGGUGCACCCUUUCCCAGCUGACCUCAGCACCUAUCUGGGGGG
ensembl:lncRNA